GCCAGACUGGCUCAGUUGGGAUAGCAUGUGACUCUUGACCUCAGAGUUGUGAGUUCAAGCCCCAUGUUGGGCA
rnacentral:tRNA from 1 species